rnacentral:lncRNA from 1 species
UGUAGAUUAAGUUUUUAUAUAACCCCAAUUUUAGUUGGUAUGAAUUGAAGUGCAAAACAACAACAGCAAAAAAAUGAAAACAAGAAUGAAACAUUUUAUUUUACUGGACUUUAAUGAUGUUCUGUGGGAAUUUCCCAUUUUUUCACUUCACUUUGGAAUGAAACAUUUUUUGCAACAUCAGCAGUUCAUGCAAGAGACAUUUUGAGUUGUGACCAGCAUCAUGUGCUGAUCCACAUCACUUUUCUUCCUCUUUCCAGUUGGCUGUGCUCUGCAACUUUUGCUGUGGUCAGUGGUGUUACCUGCUAGGAAUCAUUAGAAAUGUUGUCUGAGUAUCAGCCUGGAGAAAAGAGUGUGGCAGCAGUGACCAACUUUUGCUGACAAAAUGCAGAGAGGAUGCCUGGGUAACGGAAACAAGAUGGAGGAGCCUUGCUGGCUAGUCUUGGUUUUGGAAAGUCUGAUGGGAGACAUCCGGAGUCAAAGUCAGAGCCUGGUUCGUGCAGUGAGCCAUUGGGGACCAGUGACAGACUUGUCCAUGAGGGUUUCCACAAGUGUCCCCCAGACCACGCAGGUCGAUGACAGGCUAGUGCUAAUGGAUGGAUCAGGAGGAACAACUUGCCAGCGUGCACAUGGCAAUGUGCAGCCAGACCUGACGCGAUGUUCAGCCAGUAUGGCUUCUGUAUACAGGCUGCCAGCAUGAGUCUGAGGUAUGUGAACCUUGCGGCCUAUCAAUCUCUUGUUACACCCACUUCUAGGAAACAGUACUUGAUGUUGUGAUUUGCCACAAAUGUGGUGAUUUGCUGCCUGCACCUGUGCUUGGUCUCCCACCAUGCUGUCUUACCUUCUUCCCCUUGUAACCUCCUGGUCUGGGCCCUCUCCAGCUGAACUCAGUCUGGUUCAUGUCCGUCUUCCCAAAGAUCAGUGGCUACCCAACACCUAGUGACUGCUUCCUCACCUCCUGCAACACUCCUGAUAUGCUUUACAGGUUUCUCUGAACCUAACAUAACCUAAAAUAUACAAAUCUAAUCUAAAAAAAGUAUGUUCUAUUGUUCCCUCCCUUUGCAGAGAUGGUCUGCUAAGCCCAAGGACAGGGUGACUAGUGCGAAGGCAUUGGCAUUUUUAGAGUGCUGGGUAAGCCUUGUUGGCAAGGUGUAUUGGUUGUGGUCUGGGUCUGUUUAACUUAACUCCUCUGUACCUCCAAUUGUUUAUGCCCCGUUAGCAGUCUGUCAUCUGCAGGUGUAACAAAUAUACUUUACUUUCUCUCCUUCAGGCUGCUGAUGAAAAUACUCAGUAGGAGCAGACCCAGGCAGCCACCUGCAGAUCGUUGCAGAUCUCACUACCCAAUCUCUCUAUCUUUCAUUUUGGCAGUGAGAUUCUGAUGUUUUUGAGUAUGUAGUUUGUUUCCAGCUAGUUCUGCACACAUCAUUGAAAAGUUUAAUCUAGACUAUAUUUCCCCAGUCUGUUUGUGACAAUGUCGUGCGAGAGAGUGUCAAAAGCUUUAAUAAGUCAAGAUAUAUGACGUGCACUUCUUCCUUUCUAUCUGCAAUGUCUGUUUCUUUGUCAGAGAAGGAAAUUACAAUAGUUUGACAUUACUUGUUCUUGGCAAAUCCAUUAUUGGCUUUUACUCAUUCUCCCCACCCUCCCUUUUUUCUUCUAAGUUCUUAGAUGUAGCUUGUUUAUUUAGUUCACAGUUUUUCCAAUAAGUGUUUUCACUCCUGAAGCCUUCUCUGAUUUUUUUCUUAGUUACAUCAGUUAGCUUAAUAAAAUGCAUUCUCUCUCCCUAUUAACCA